CUGGCAAACAAACAAAGUUUAUUCAUUUCACUCUGAAGAUUACAAAUGACAUUCCCUCUAUUUGUAGAUGAAGUGAGGUAGAAACACAAUUAUUACAGCCAGUUCAGAGAGGAAAAAUGACAUUCCUAUGGGCACAAACGUAUAAUAAUUAUACAGACAAUUAAAAAAGCAGAAUUCAAUUGAAAAGUAAAAGAUUAUAACGAUAAACUUUAUAAAGACAACAUAACAACAGCUAGCAGAUAUCCAAUGCAACAACUUUAUGAAGGAAGUGACGGGCGCUCAAAUUAAAGUUUUAAUAAUUUGAGUCGUUAGAAUCAACCGAUUCAUACACGUUGCAAUACAUGGACAUGAGCUAGUGUCUUGUGGAUCUUGAGAAUCUUGUAAUAUUGGAUCAGGAAAAUCUGGUUAUAGGCCAGGAUCAGGCGCUGGGCUGAGUGUUGUAAGUUGUGUGUUUCUUUUCUGCAUUGACUUGGGAUAAGUUUUCCAUUCAAAUGCAAAGUUUUGUGUCCAAAUCAUUCCUUCAAGGUAUUUGAAGUAAGGUCGAUGGAGAAUGAAGAUAG
rnacentral:misc_RNA from 1 species